rnacentral:rRNA from 1 species
GAUGAACGCUGGCGGCGUGCCUAAUACAUGCAAGUCGAGCGAACAGACGAGGAGCUUGCUCCUCUGACGUUAGCGGCGGACGGGUGAGUAACACGUGGAUAACCUACCUAUAAGACUUGGAUAACUUCGGGAAACCGGAGCUAAUACCGGAUAAUAUAUUGAACCGCAUGGUUCAAUAGUGAAAGACGGUUUUGCUGUCACUUAUAGAUGGAUCCGCGCCGCAUUAGCUAGUUGGUAAGGUAACGGCUUACCAAGGCAACGAUGCGUAGCCGACCUGAGAGGGUGAUCGGCCACAAGGGAACUGAGACACGGUCCAGACUCCUACGGGAGGCAGGAGUAGGGAAGCUGCCGCAAUGGGCGAAAGCCUGACGGAGCAACGCCGCGUGAGUGAUGAAGGUCUUCGGAUCGUAAAACUCUGUUAUUAGGGAAGAACAAAUGUGUAAGUAACUAUGCACGUCUUGACGGUACCUAAUCAGAAAGCCACGGCUAACUACGUG